UGGGGAAUAUUGCGCAAUGGGGGAAACCCUGACGCAGCGACGCCGCGUGCGGGAUGAAGGCCUUCGGGUUGUAAACCGCUUUUGAUUGGGAGCAAGCCUUUUGGGCGAGUGUACCUUUCGAAUAAGCGCCGGCUAACUACGUGCCAGCAGCCGCGGUAAUACGUAGGGCGCAAGCGUUAUCCGGAAUUAUUGGGCGUAAAGCGCGCGCAGGUGGUUUAGAAAGUCUGAUGUGAAAGCCCACGGCUCCACCGUGGAGGGUCAUUGGAAACUAAUAAACUUGAGUGCAGGAGAGAAACGUGGAAUUCCUAGUGUAGCGGUGAAAUGCGUAGAGAUUAGGAGGAUCCCCGGUGGCGAAAGCGGCUUUUUGGCCUGCAACUGACACUGAGGCGCGAAAGCGUGGGGAGCAAACAGG
rnacentral:rRNA from 1 species